AGCUUCCAUUCACAGAGACUUCUACUGGUGCUGGGUUGGUUUGGUAACAUUCCAAGUCUGUCUACAGAGUCUGCUGUCUGCAGCUGCAAAGUUCCACAAUCUCUCCUUCUCUAAACCUGACAAAAAGUCAAGUCUCAGAUUAAAAAAAUAAAUAAGAGAAUGUCAGACCCAGCAUGAUCAAAUUAGGGAACAAUGAUUCCCUCGGCACUGUCCAUUUGAACAGCAUCUUACAUGAACAUUAGUCCUGUCAACAAGUGGCCUGACACAUCUGCUUUCAUCCUACAAACUGAAAAAUGAUGUUUGACCUAAAAUAGUUAAGGCCAAUAUGAAGGAAUCAUGAUUCAUCAAGGAGUUAUUUCUCAAUGAUAAUAAAAAAAAAAUCAAUGAAACACAUGUAAACAUCCAUGAGCUGCAUAAACAUUUCAUGUGUGGCAUAUUCUGUCAGGCAUGCAAUUAGAGUUCACACAAAGACUGCUGUCCAGAGAAAUCAAGUUGGAUCAUAAGAAAUUAUGCAACAGAUAGGAACAUUGUAAAAGAUGAGUAUAUGCUGUUUACCACAUUUCUCUAGCAAUAACUGGGCUUUCCUGUGAAUCCAGAUAUUAAAUAUUAAAAUGAUCUUUGAAUA